CAAAAACACACAGAGACAAGAAGGAGUUUCUUUUCAAACCCUAAACCCAUCAAAAUUGCUCAAAAUCAAAGGGGAAAUCAAGCUAAGAAUUGGGGCUUUAACUAAAUUCAUGAUCACCUAAGCUAGGAUAUCACAAGUUUGACGCUUGACAAGCUAGGUGGAGGCUUGGAAAGGAAGCGGGUCGAACGAAUCAAGUGUGAAGGAAAAGCGUGUUUCGGAUGCAAGGUCCCAGACAUGAACCUGCUAGAAACUGGUCUCCCCCGCGACACGCGAGGGGACACCGUGACAUCGGCGCGACUCGCAACUGGCGUCGCGGCACGCGAAAGGACAAGGGAAGCCUCUCACGUGGCGCGAGAGGCACUAGUCCGGAAAAUUAUUUUUAUUUUGUUGGUUUGAUGCUACGAAUUUGUUUAAUGUUAUAUUUAAGUUAUCAUAACUAACUUUUAAGUUGGUUUUG